rnacentral:lncRNA from 1 species
AGAUCAAGAAGAGAAAAAAAAAAAAAAAACCAACCGGUGAUUGAUAAACGACACGAUCCGCUUCAAUGUAAUGAUAAAACUUGUUGUUUCCGCGCUCAAUUAAGCUGGAUUUUCUUUCUCGUCAACUGAAAUGCAAGAUAUACACUCAAAUUUCUUCAAACUUGAAAGCAUUACAAUGUCAAUCAACAAUCAGAUUCAAAACAUAAAAAUAUAGUUUGAUUCAUUUGAAAUUGAUGCUUUAACUGCAGUAGAUUAGUUGCGAGGAGGAUUGAAGAAAUCUUCAUUUGAUAUAAACUUGAAAAAAGAGAAAAUCAAACGAAGAAAAUGAUGGAAGCAGUAUGGAAUUUUGAGCGAUAAUCUUGAAAAUGAGAAGUUCUUGUUGAGGGAAAAACGAUCCGAAUAUUAAGCAAUGAAGGCGGA